CGCGGCGUGUGCUAAUACAUGCAGUCGAGCGCACUGGCCCAACAGAAAUGACGUGCUUGCACUGAUUUGACGUUGGAUUCCCAGUGAGCGGCGGACGGGUGAGUAACACGUGGGCAACCUGCCCCAAAGCGGGGGAUAACAUUUGGAAACAGGUGCUAAUACCGCAUAACUUGGAAAACCACAUGGUUUUCCAAUAAAAGAUGGUUUCGGCUAUCACUUUGGGAUGGGCCCGCGGUGCAUUAGCUAGUUGGUAAGGUAACGGCUUACCAAGGCGAUGAUGCAUAGCCGAGUUGAGAGACUGAUCGGCCACAAUGGAACUGAGACACGGUCCAUACUCCUACGGGAGGCAGCAGUAGGGAAUCUUCCACAAUGGGCGCAAGCCUGAUGGAGCAACACCGCGUGAGUGAAGAAGGGUUUCGGCUCGUAAAACUCUGUUGUUGGAGAAGAACGUGCGUAAGAGUAACUGUUUACGCAGUGACGGUAUCCAACCAGAAAGUCACGGCUAACUACGUGCCAGCAGCCGCGGUAAUACGUAGGUGGCAAGCGUUAUCCGGAUUUAUUGGGCGUAAAGCGAGCGCAGGCGGUUGCUUAGGUCUGAUGUGAAAGCCUUCGGCUUAACCGAAGAAGUGCAUCGGAAACCGGGCGACUUGAGUGCAGAAGAGGACAGUGGAACUCCAUGUGUAGCGGUGGAAUGCGUAGAUAUAUGGAAGAACACCAGUGGCGAAGGCGGCUGUCUGGUCUGCAACUGACGCUGAGGCUCGAAAGCAUGGGUAGCGAACAGGAUUAGAUACCCUGGUAGUCCAUGCCGUAAACGAUGAGUGCUAGGUGUUGGAGGGUUUCCGCCCUUCAGUGCCGAAGCUAACGCAUUAAGCACUCCGCCUGGGGAGUACGACCGCAAGGUUGAAACUCAAAGGAAUUGACGGGGGCCCGCACAAG
rnacentral:rRNA from 2 species